CGAACGGGUGAGUAAUGCGUGACCAACCUGCCCCAUGCUCCAGAAUAGCUCUUGGAAACGGGUGGUAAUGCUGGAUGCUCCAACUUGACGCAUGUCUUGUUGGGAAAGUGUUUAGUGGCAUGGGAUGGGGUCGCGUCCUAUCAGCUUGUAGGCGGGGUAAUGGCCCACCUAGGCUUCGACGGGUAGCCGGCCUGAGAGGGCGGACGGCCACAUUGGGACUGAGGUACGGCCCAGACUCCUACGGGAGGCAGCAGUU
rnacentral:rRNA from 1 species